rnacentral:rRNA from 1 species
AACAAACGCUGGCGGCGUGCCUAAUACAUGCAAGUCGAACGGGGAAAGCUUUCGGGUGAGUACUAGUGGCGCACGGGUGAGUAACGCGUGGAUAAUCUGCCUUAGAGUGGGGGAUAACUAGUCGAAAGAUUAGCUAAUACCGCAUAAGACCACAAGAACUGCGGUUCAAGGGGUCAAAGGUUUUUCGCUCUAAGAUGAGUCCGCGUAAGAUUAGCUAGUUGGUGGGGUAAUGGCUCACCAAGGCGACGAUUUUUAACUGGUCUGAGAGGAUGAUCAGUCACACUGGAACUGAGACACGGUCCAGACUCCUACGGGAGGCAGCAGUAGGGAAUAUUGCACAAUGGAGGAAACUCUGAUGCAGCGACGCCGCGUGAGUGAUGAAGGCCUUCGGGUCGUAAAGCUCUGUCGCAAGGGAAUAACACAAUGAAUGUACCUUGCAAGAAAGGAUCGGCUAACUUCGUGCCAGCCGCCGCGGUAA